CUUUAGGGCUACCAACGAGGAGAAUUUUACUAAGAAGAAAUAUGCUGCUAAACCACUGUGGGAGAAACUCAUCAAAGAGCUGGAACUGGAGGGAAAGGUGACCACAGCACAAAUUGGCAAAAAAUGGGAAAAUCUUAAAAAAAAAUAUAAGAACACUUUGGAAGACGCCAGCACAUCGGCCUCAAGCUCUGCCUCACCAGCUGGAAGAGGAAGCUGGAAGCUUCAGGCAUCAGGUCCACUUUCCCCCCGAUCCCCAAAAAAAGAAAUUCUCUA